UUCAAGUCGAUGACAUAUUUUUUCUAAUAGAUGAUAAUGAAAUAGUGCAUUACCUGCGCUAACGAUUUACGCUGACGGGGCACCAGUGGAGGAUGAUAAUAUCAGCAUGAGAGAUCCGGUGAGGACGCCGCUCGGAUGUUGUGAUGCUGCGACAGCCAGGAACACCGACGUCGUUACGCGCCGCCGACCGUGAGAGUGUCUCCUCGUGUCUCCUCGUGUCUCCUCGCGUCUCCUCGCGGCCCUUGGCAGAUCAAGCGGUGGUGUCACUAUCAAACAAACACGCCGACAUUCCCACAACUCACUGAACAGGGUUGUCACCAUGUUGAAAGACUUGAAAUUAAUCAUUUUCUAUAAUUAACAUAACGUAUGUAUAUGUAUAU